rnacentral:rRNA from 1 species
UAGCAUAUCAAUAAGCGGAGGAAAAGAAACCAACAGGGAUUGCCCUAGUAACGGCGAGUGAAGCGGCAACAGCUCAAAUUUGAAAUCUGGCCUCGGCCCGAGUUGUAAUUUGCAGAGGAUGCUUUUGGUGCGGUGCCUUCCGAGUUCCCUGGAACGGGACGCCACAGAGGGUGAGAGCCCCGUAUGGUCGGACACCAAUCCUGUGUAAAGCUCCUUCGACGAGUCGAGUAGUUUGGGAAUGCUGCUCUAAAUGGGAGGUAAAUCUCUUCUAAAGCUAAAUACCGGCCAGAGACCGAUAGCGCACAAGUAGAGUGAUCGAAAGAUGAAAAGCACCUUGAAAAGGGGGUUAAACAGUACGUGAAAUUGUUGAAAGGGAAGCACUUGUGACCAGACUUGGGCCGGGCGGCUCAUCAGGGGUUCUCCCCUGUGCAUUCCGCCCGGUACAGGCCAGCAUCGGUUCUUACCGGGGGAUAAGAACGGCAGGAACGUGGCUCCCUCUCGGGGGAGUGUUAUAGCCUGCCGUACGAUACCCUGGCGGGGACCGAGGUUCGCGCUUCCGCAAGGAUGCUGGCGUAAUGGUUACUAGUGACCCGUCUUGAAACACGGACCAAGGAGUCGUCCAUUAGAGCGAGCGUUUGGGUGUAAAACCCGCACGCGUAAUGAAAGUGAAAUUAGGUGAGAGCUUCGGCGCAUCAUCGACCGAUCCUGAUGUUCUCGGAUGGAUUUGAGUAAGAGUUUUAACGGACGGACCCGAAAGACAGUGAACUAUGCUUGUAUAGGGUGAAGCCAGAGGAAACUCUGGUGGAGGCUCGCAGCGGUUCUGACGUGCAAAUCGAUCGUCAAAUAUGAGCAUGGGGGCGAAAGACUAAUCGAACUGUCUAGUA